rnacentral:rRNA from 2 species
GUUUGAUCCUGGCUCAGAUUGAACGCUGGCGGCAGGCCUAACACAUGCAAGUCGAGCGGAUGAGUGGAGCUUGCUCCAUGAUUCAGCGGCGGACGGGUGAGUAAUGCCUAGGAAUCUGCCUGGUAGUGGGGGACAACGUUUCGAAAGGAACGCUAAUACCGCAUACGUCCUACGGGAGAAAGUGGGGGAUCUUCGGACCUCACGCUAUCAGAUGAGCCUAGGUCGGAUUAGCUAGUUGGUGAGGUAAAGGCUCACCAAGGCGACGAUCCGUAACUGGUCUGAGAGGAUGAUCAGUCACACUGGAACUGAGACACGGUCCAGACUCCUACGGGAGGCAGCAGUGGGGAAUAUUGGACAAUGGGCGAAAGCCUGAUCCAGCCAUGCCGCGUGUGUGAAGAAGGUCUUCGGAUUGUAAAGCACUUUAAGUUGGGAGGAAGGGCAGUAAGUUAAUACCUUGCUGUUUUGACGUUACCAACAGAAUAAGCACCGGCUAACUUCGUGCCAGCAGCCGCG